UGGGGAAUAUUGCACAGUGGGGGAAACCCUGAUGCAGCGACGCCGCGUGAACGAAGAAGGUAUUCGUAUCGUAAAGUUCUGUCCUAUGGGAAGAUAAUGACAGUACCAUAGAAGAAAGCUCCGGCUAAAUACGUGCCAGCAGCCGCGGUAAUACGUAUGGAGCGAGCGUUGUCCGGAAUUAUUGGGCGUAAAGGGUACGCAGGCGGUUUAAUAAGUCGAAUGUUAAAGAUCGGGGCUCAACCCCGCAAAGCAUUGGAAACUGAUAAACUUGAGUAGUGGAGAGGAAAGUGGAAUUCCUAGUGUAGUGGUGAAUUACGUAGAUAUUAGGAGGAAUACCAGUAGCGAAGGCGACUUUCUGGACACAAACUGACGCUGAGGUACGAAAGCGUGGCGAGCAAACAGG
rnacentral:rRNA from 1 species